AUAGACAUCUAGAGUAAACUAAGUGCUCUCUCGGCGAGCACAAAGACACGGGUGGUCCGUGCGGCGCUUUGCAACGCGCGGAGCAAUGCAGAACAAGACUCUCUCUUAUACUUCUCCUUUUCCGCUCCGUCCGUUUAGUACAAAAUCUUGCUCUCUCCUCCCAGUCUGUGUAAGAGCGUUAACAACAAAAAUGACAAACAAAAUUGGCGCUGAGCCCCCUGGCACCGAUGGUUCCAGUAAUUGUUGAGUA
ensembl:ncRNA F25B4.11 ncRNA